CCAAUAGCGUAUAUUAAAGUUGUUGCAGUUAAAAAGCUCGUAGUUGAAUUUCGGGGUCAGUAGAUUGGUCGUGCCACUGGUAUGUACUGGUCUUACUGGCUCCUCCUUCCUGAUGAACCGUAAUGCCAUUAAUUUGGUGUUGCGGGGAAACUGGACUGUUACUUUGAAAAAAUUAGAGUGUUUAAAGCAGGCUAACGCUUGAAUACAUUAGCAUGGAAUAAUGAAAUAGGACGUUCGAUCCUAUUUUGUUGGUUUCUAGGAUUGACGUAAUGAUUAAUAGGGAUAGUUGGGGGCAUUAGUAUUCAAUUGUCAGAGGUGAAAUUCUUGGAUUUAUUGAAGACUAACUACUGCGAAAGCAUUUGCCAAGGAUGUUUUCAUUAAUCAAGAACGAAAGUUAGGGGAUCGAAGACGAUCAGAUACCGUCGUAGUCUUAACCAUAAACUAUGCCGACUAGGGAUCGGAUGAUGUUAAUUUUUUAAUGACUCA
rnacentral:rRNA from 1 species